rnacentral:lncRNA from 1 species
UUUGUCUGUUCCAUUUCAUUUCAAGUCAUGUUCAAGUCAUGCAGGUUCAAGUUCAUUCGUUUCAAGUUCCAUUGCAUUCUCAAGUCAUUAUUCUAUCUAAGUUACAAGUCAUGUUCAAUUCAUGUUCAAAUCAUUGAUUCAUUAAAACCCAACAUUUAGUUCAUUCAUGUCAAGUAUUCAUUCAUUUCAAAAAUCAAGAGUCAAAAAACCAAUUCAAUUUUAUUCAAACUAGUCAAUCCAUUUCAAUUUUAUUCCAUUACAUGAAAAAUUUCAAAAUUAGACAACUUUGACCAAGUGUUGGCUUUGGUCAACAGUUAACUUUUUUGUCAACUUUGACCAAAGUCAACUCAAAUCUUCCCUAAGUCCUAGAUCCUAUUUCUAUUCUCUAGAGCUAAUCCUUGAUCUUUGCCACUUGUCUUUAGCAUUUCAAAGGGUGAACUUGAGGUCUUCUUAUUUUAGGCCAUUAUCCACUUCAUGAGCACAUGGUCAGAAUGAGCUACAGAACCCAAACAUUAGAACAUGAUGCAGAACAUGGACCCUGAAGCAAGAAGAUGUCAACACAAGCCAAUUCCAAGAAUCCUGCAAAUCACGAGUCAGAACAUGGACCCUGAAGCAAGAAGAUGUCAACACAAGCCAAUUCCAAGAAUCCUGCAAAUCACGAGUCAGAACAUGAAAGAAGGCAUGGCAAUGAAUGAAGUCAGAAUUCAUAGGAAGCAUGAAGUAUGAUUCCAUGCUACAUCAGUCCAGGUUAGAAUUAGCAAAUCAGAAUGGGCAGACCUCCUGAAUACAUUAUUAUACCUGCUAUCAAAAUUCAGCAUAGCAUGCCAAAGUACACCAAAACAGAACAUGCCACAAACUAUGCCACAAACUGCCAUAACCCUUCAUUCACCAAACAACUUGCAGUAGCCCGUAACUCACAUCAUCAUACUGUGCUUCAUCUCAUGUCCAAGCUUUAAUAACAUUUCACAAAACUUGCAUCAAUUCAAUAAAAGAAAAUACAAGCAAAUAUCAACCAUACAAAUACCAUUCAAUGACUAACUUUAAUCAAGUUCAUCUAACAAAUUAACUAACAAUGAUAUUGAUAGUUUCAGCUUAACAUCCAACACUCUAACUAACAUUAGCAGACCUACAGGGUUCACGAACAUGACCCUUAGCAGAAUCACUAAUGGAUACCAAACAAUACAAACAACACCUAGCAGUUUUGAUAUCUUAGCAGCAAGUUCAUACACCGCAGGAUAACAUAAACUCAGAUUCGCAUUCAAAAACAUUUCUAGCUCAUGAAAUAGCAUCACAUAAAAAAAAACUCAUGACUAAUUUUGAUUUCAGAAAAAUCGCAUUUUUCCAAACUAAUUUUUCAUAUAACAGACUCCUAACAGAAUUUCAGUUUGAAGCUACUUUCAAAUUCAUUCCUAAACUACCCUUCCAAUCACUAUAUAAAUCAAACACCACAACUCAAUUGAGGCUCUGGAUUUUUCAAUUCACCUUCACCUUCAAACUCUCUCAACUCCCUCUCAUUUUCAGCUAAAAAACAUUCAUCCCACUCUCCAUUCAUUGGCUCGUUGAACCUCUUCAUCUCAUAACUCCCUCUCUGAGAAUCAGACCAGAAGCUUCACCUUCACUCUUCCAUCUCACACCCUCGUUAUCAUCUCACCUUCAUUGCAACAACAACACACACGGAAGAAAACGAAAAACAGAAACAGAGAAGAUGAAGGAAGGAUUUGUAACAGGGAAAGAAGAUUUUGAGAAUUCGCGUUUACCUGUUUUGCGUAUGAUUCGUCAUCCUCAUCUUCUUCACAAUGCAACAAUCAACGAGCUAUUCGCAGGUACUCUGUUUUCACUCCGAUUCUAUUACAGCCGAAUAGUUUCAGGCCAUAGGGAUUGAGGCCCUACCCAAUUUAGCUUUAACUCCCUCUUUUGUGUGUUUAAACUCUUGAUUUACAUUUAGGUUUUUUUAUCUGUUCUAUUGCGAUUCGUGUUUGUGGUGAGAAAUUUGAGGAGGUUAGUGGAGUGUUCAGGUAGAGGAGGCCAAGGCGGAUAGAUUGGCGGUGGUAUCGUGGUGGUUCGGCGGAGUUGUUAUGGCUCAGGCGAUGCGAAAUUGGACCUGGAAGAGUAUGUGAGUGUUCAUUUGGCAUGCUGAGG